GUUGAACGCUAGCUACAGGCUUAACACAUGCAAGUCGAGGGACCGGCGCACGUGUGAGUAACCCGUAUCCAACCUCCCCUUUACUCGGGGAUAGCCUUUCGAAAGAAAGAUUAAUACCUGAUAUAACGGAUGGGGAUGCGUUCCAUUAGGUUGUUGGUGAGGUAACGGCCCACCAAGCCUUCGAUGGAUAGGGGUUCUGAGAGGAAGGUCCCCAAGACUGGAGCUGAGACACGGACCAAACUCGUACGGGAGGUAGCAGUGAGGAAUAUUGGUCAAUGGGCGCUAGCCUGAACAUGCCAAGUAUAGUGAAGGAUGAAGGCGUAUGGGUCGUAGACUUCUUUGAUAUAAGAAUCGGUAUUAUAUGAAUAAGGAUCGGCUAACUCCGUGCCAGCAGCCGCGGUAAUAC
rnacentral:rRNA from 1 species